rnacentral:rRNA from 1 species
UACAUAGGGGGCAAGCGUUGUCCGGAAUCAUUGGGCGUAAAGAGCGUGUAGGCGGCCCGGUAAGUCCGCUGUGAAAGUCCAGGGCUCAACCCUGGGAUGCCGGUGGAUACUGUCGGGCUCGAGUCCGGAAGAGGAGUGUGGAAUUCCUGGUGUAGCGGUGAAAUGCGCAGAUAUCAGGAGGAACACCAAUGGCGAAGGCAGCACUCUGGGACGUGACUGACGCUGAGACGCGAAAGCGUGGGGAGCAAACAGG